AACUUGCCCCAGGUUACCCACCUCCCAGCUGCAAAAGAAAAGGGCUUAGUUCUUCUCCUGCCUGUGGAGUCUGCACACUGGAUUUGUGCCCUCCUCUGAGUUCUGGCCAGGAGGCUUCUCACCCAGUUCAAAUUGUUACCAAGUUAUCUGGAGAUUUCCUUCUCCCUGUGGUGUUCACCCCUGCCCUCUGAUUCCUCUGUCCACCCUCUCGAUGGAUCACUGUGAUGCCAUGCAGAAAUGGCCUGCCUGGGGAUCCGCUGCAAUAAAGCUGGUACUUCAGAACACAAAAGCUAGAUUCCUGCUGUGACUUCUCAAAAACUGCUUCUCAAAAUACUCAUGCAACAGCUGACACAUAAAAAAUGUACAUGAAUGUCUGGAUGGCUUCCCAGACCUGUCUGGAAGUACACACCCAGUUUUCAGGUGAUGGAGAUGUCUUCAAAAUGUUGGACUUCUAGCAAGAGUUCUCUGCCUAAAACUGUAUGUGAGAUUCUGAAAGAGGUAUAUUAAAGUCUCAGCAUGAAAGC
ensembl:lncRNA LINC02006 long intergenic non-protein coding RNA 2006